CCACAUCUACUCACCACUCCAUCUCCUCCCACUGCUGCCCCCUGUUUAGAGCUGUCUCUCUGCUCUCUUCCUCCCCCAUACUAGCCUAUGGCCCCCUCUCUGCUGGAGGAGCCAACCUCUCAAUCAAAGUGAAUACUACUCUGGAAAUCUUGGGUGGUCUGACCUGAUAUUUUAGUUUAGUGGCCACAGAUAUUUUAGGCCCCCAAGAGGUAGUCUUACUCUUUCAAUUUUACUGGCCUCACUGUUUAAGGAACUUGGAACAGUUCCCCCAGGGACUGGUCUAGAGGUACCGUUGAAUAAUACCACAGUGUUUUUCUUCCUCCCCACAAAGGACCAGCUGGUGCCUCAAGACCAGGCAUAAACCUUUUGGGGCUCUGCCAACUUAGAGUGAGAACUCUGCUUUCCUUCAGGAUUCCUGCCCUUCCAGGUCAGGCAAAACCUCUUCUUCCUUUGUCCUUUAGGACUUUGAGUCUUGGUGCUGCCUCUGAUUCCCUUUAUUUUUAUUCCCUAGGAGAAUUUAACACUCUGGGCCUUGGUAUUAUAUGAGCUAUAAGACCACAUGUGGAUUUUCAGAAUAAGUCUCAUUUCCCUAUCCUUCCCUCCACAAAGAGAGAGAGAAAGAGAGAAGAUAGUAAAAUCGCAUCAUUGGUCACUCAUCUAUCCACAGUAUGUUGAGGCAACUGACAUAAGCCCUUAGUACAGCUAUUGUGAGAUGCUGACAGUCUCCCUGAGGAAGUGUUUAUAACUACCUUUAUUUAGGCGGGGAGGAAACAUGUCAUCUAUAAGAUAAUUUUAUGAUACAUUUGAAACAAAUACACUCAGGGAAGGAUUUUUUAAAAAUGAUAUCAAAUGACCAUGAACUGGUGAAUGGAUAAA
rnacentral:lncRNA from 1 species